AGCCAUAUUUGGGUUACUAUUCUAAGUAGAUCGUUCCUUUUAUAUUCGAGAAGAGUUUGCAUAUUACUUGAUUGAGGAGGAUAACAGAAUACUGAGGUGUAAAUUGUAUGAUAAAUAUGUCUUUAGUAGUUAAGAAUAAAGUUUGUAAAUGAACGGGAGAUUACAUUGAUGUUAACUCUUAUAAACAAAACCAAUAAACGUAAGACUUUUUCAAAGCACUUGCAAUGUCAUUCGGAUAACAUCGUUCUUUUUCCUCGCACGCUAGCGAGGUGAUCCGAUUGUUGUUAGGGAACAGUCUAAAAGCGAACAAAAUUCCACCAAGAAUAUUACAACAAAGAAAGAGAUUUGGGAUGUUGUCGAUGGUAUACAGUAUGUUUGACAGCGACCGCAAGAAACAAGGUAUGGGGAGCUAAUACAUGCUGCUAAGGAUGGAAAGGUGUUGUGCCCGAGACAUCAGUCACAGUGGAGUCUAUAUACACUCGAGGUGAGUGGCAGAUUUAAUUUGGAAGAUGGAUGACUUUCAGAUGUGGUGAUGAAGAUUGUUUAAAGGAAUCUAUCAACAUAGAACCAAUCCAUAUGAAUGUGCAAGUCAGGACUUGUACAACACCUGACUACCCAGGUGACUGUUAAACUAAUUGGUGACCAAGAAAAGAUGUCAGAGAGAGGAAUGCAAUACGGAUGUCAUGAUCAAGAAUAUAUACUGUUAUCGAUGCUAUGAUCAAGAAUAUGUAAACUAACUAGGAAAUAUCUUGGAGAUUUAUAGAUGAACAUAAUUUUGAAUGUUAUUCAGCCAGAGAGUUUUUGCACAAAUUUAAUUUUC